rnacentral:rRNA from 1 species
UGUAUAAUGGGUCAGCGACUUAUAUUCUGUAGCAAGGUUAACCGAAUAGGGGAGCCGAAGGGAAACCGAGUCUUAACUGGGCGUUAAGUUGCAGGGUAUAGACCCGAAACCCGGUGAUCUAGCCAUGGGCAGGUUGAAGGUUGGGUAACACUAACUGGAGGACCGAACCGACUAAUGUUGAAAAAUUAGCGGAUGACUUGUGGCUGGGGGUGAAAGGCCAAUCAAACCGGGAGAUAGCUGGUUCUCCCCGAAAGCUAUUUAGGUAGCGCCUCGUGAAUUCAUCUCCGGGGGUAGAGCACUGUUUCGGCAAGGGGGUCAUCCCGACUUACCAACCCGAUGCAAACUGCGAAUACCGGAGAAUGUUAUCACGGGAGACACACGGCGGGUGCUAACGUCCGUCGUGAAGAGGGAAACAACCCAGACCGCCAGCUAAGGUCCCAAAGUCAUGGUUAAGUGGGAAACGAUGUGGGAAGGCCCAGACAGCCAGGAUGUUGGCUUAGAAGCAGCCAUCAUUUAAAGAAAGCGUAAUAGCUCACUGGUCGAGUCGGCCUGCGCGGAAGAUGUAACGGGGCUAAACCAUGCACCGAAGCUGCGGCAGCGACGCUUAUGCGUUGUUGGGUAGGGGAGCGUUCUGUAAGCCUGU